UACGAAGGGGGCUAGCGUUGUUCGGAUUUACUGGGCGUAAAGCGCGCGAGGCGGCCAAUCAAGUCAGGGGUGAAAUCCCAGAGCUCAACUCUGGAAUUGCCUUUGAAACUGCUUGGCUAGAAUAUCGGAGGGGAGAGCGGAAUUUCCAAUGUAGCGGUGAAAUGCGUAGAUAUUGGAAGGAACACCGGUGGCGAAGGCGGCGUCUCUGGACGAUUAUUGACGCUGAGGCGCGAAAGCGUGGGGAUCAA
rnacentral:rRNA from 1 species